rnacentral:rRNA from 1 species
UACAUAGGGGGCGAGCGUUAUCCGGAAUUAUUGGGCGUAAAGCGAGCGCAGGCGGUUAGAUAAGUCUGAAGUUAAAGGCUGUGGCUUAACCAUAGUACGCUUUGGAAACUGUUUAACUUGAGUGCAAGAGGGGAGAGUGGAAUUCCAUGUGUAGCGGUGAAAUGCGUAGAUAUAUGGAGGAACACCGGUGGCGAAAGCGGCUCUCUGGCUUGUAACUGACGCUGAGGCUCGAAAGCGUGGGGAGCAAACAGG